UACGAAGGGGGGCUAGCGUUGUUCGGAAUUACUGGGCGUAAAGCGCACGUAGGCGGAUUGUUAAGUCAGAGGUGAAAUCCCGGAGCUCAACUUCGGAACUGCCUUUGAUACUGGCAAUCUAGAGUCCGGAAGAGGUUAGUGGAAUUCCCAGUGUAGAGGUGAAAUUCGUAGAUAUUGGGAAGAACACCAGUGGCGAAGGCGGCA
rnacentral:rRNA from 1 species